CAAACCGCAUACUUCCAUGCUCCGAGUGCGCAUAGCGAGCAUGCCGCCAUCUUGGAGUGCGAGUCCAAACCGAAGUUCGGUAGUGUGGAGCACGGAUAAAGUACCCGGAUGCGCACUCCGUUUGAUCAAAAUUUGAAGUGUGCAUCCGUGCAUGCUCCGACUGGGAAAAAUCCCAUAAUUCAUUUCGAGAAAAACUGUUAGAAGAACAAGAGGACAAUGGCGGAUGACGGGCGUGAGGUUGUUCCUCCUGAGGCUUUCUACAAAUGGACAGAUGAUGACACAAGAUGCCUUGUGCUUUGGCGGCGGGACAAUGAGGCCCUCUUCACGGGCAAAAGAAAUGCCGCCAAGGGAGGAUGGGAGCAGUUUAUCAGUAACACAGGCCUGCAAGGGAGGGUAUCGGCUGCCCAAGCGAAGAAAAAAUGGGAAAACCUGAAAAAAAAGUACAAGGACAUCGUCAGCAGCCAGGCAGACAUUGUGCAGGAUAGCGCAGGCUGCAAUAACCUUCGGUGCAAAUGAAGGGUGCACCUCCAGGGAUGAAAGGAAGAUGCUCCUCCAUCUGGACUUCAUCAGUCCAAAAGCUCGCUCAAUUAUGGAACGAGCUUUGGACUGAUGCCGGUUAAAGCGGGCCUCCACCGGCCCCUGGACAGGCUCCCUGUAGGGGGUUAUGAGGUGGAUUGGAUCCUCCAAGCAGGGAUACCCUCCAUCACCAAGCAGCAUGUAUCCAGGGGGAGGAUACAGCUGCUGUACAUAUAUGGGGCUGUUCCGCAGGACCCGUGAGUCGUGAACAGACCCCGGGAAACCCACAAAGACAUCCAGGAAUUUCCCGGAGGAGUCACAGACAGCCUGCAGGAUAAUUGAUGGAAACAAUUUCCUGUUGACAUAGCACUGUCUAGUGACUCCUCCAGGUGGCUUCAGUCGUAUGUGGCACCCAUCAAUGGCUCCCACAGCCUUCCUGAAUGCUGAAUGUCCUGCCAGCCGACAGAACCCCUCUCCAAUGGCUUCCAGGUCUCCUGUUUCUGGGAGGUGUAUGACUCUUGGCAGGAUGGAAAUCAGGUCAUCUGCAAUGGCAUGGACCAUCCUGUGUACUGUGCUGCGUGGGACAGCAAACACCUCUGACACCACACGGUAGGAUGUCCCACAGGCCAGCCAGUACACAAAGAUGAGGACAUCUAAUGUGUAGCCCCAGCCAUGGUCCCUCAUGUUGGGGAGCAUUCUUAAGAGACUCCGGAUUGCCCGUCUGGACAAACGAAAGUCUGGCCGGAGAUCCUGGUCCUCAUCAAAAAAUUUUGUGAGGAUCGGGACACUGACAUUAAUCCUGCCAUACCUUGCAAGGCUUUCUCCCUAGAGAGAAAUUGACAAAGUAAAUAAAUACUUUACGUUACUUCAA